AAAUUAUCAAAGAUACUUAUUAUUUGGCCACAACAUUUAAUAAUUUUUUAGACACCUAUUAUCACAGAAUAUAAUUUUUGCCAUCUUAAUUAUAUUGUUAAGUGUGUUGUUGGCAUGCUGUCUCAUUGAAAUAUACCUCAGAUCCUCUUUUAUCUUAUUCAAGAUUUUCAGAAAAGCAAUUUAAAAAUUUGUUAAAAGGUUUAUUCUCUAAAUAAAUAGAAUAAUUGGUCCAGUGAUCAAUGGAGAAUGUAAAUGAGAUGUGGUAAAAAUGCCAAUGAGAUGUGCUUAGAAUGCCAAUGAGAUGUGUUAAUACAACUAAUGAGAUGCUCUAAGAAUGCAAAUGAAAUGUGGUAAAAAUGCCAAUGAGAUAAAGCUAAAGAUAUGUUGUAAUAAUGCUAAUGAGAUGUGGUAAUAAAUCUAAUGAGAUGUGGUAAUAAAGCUAAUGAGAUGUGGUAAUAAAGCUAAUGAGAUGUGGUAAUAAAGCUAAUGAGAUGUGGUAAUAAUGCUAAUGAGAUGCGCUAAAAAUACUAAUGAGAUGUGGUAAUAAUGCCAAUGAGAUGUGGUUAGAAUUCCAAUGAGAUGUGGUUAGAAUGCCAAUGAGAACUAUCCACCAGAGAUUGAGCCACAAGGCUGCAAAAACUAUCUUUCUUUCAUGUGAAUUUUGUGUAUACUUUGUAUACUUUGUAAGCUCCCCUACAGCUGAUAGUUAACAUUUUCAUCAAAUUAUGAUUUAAAUUAUCCUUUCUUUAAAUAAAAUUAUUUGGUAAUUAAACUUUUUUAAAUAAACAUUGAAAAAGCUUCUAAAUUUUCUGAAAAAAUUACAUUAAAUAGGCACUUUUGAAUUUUUUGCCUAUUUAAAAAAAAAUAUACCAGUAAUGGCACAAGGACAGAAGAUGUGUGGAAUCAAAUAGGUAACAACUAUAGUGAUAAUGAAAUAUUCUAAUAAUAACCAGUUUUUUAAUGUCUUGACUUAAUGGACUUAUUGUAUGAUGAUAUAUGCGACCAGUUAGAAUAGUGGACAAUGAAAUAUUCAAACAUGGAACUGACUGAAGUUAAUAGACAUAAAAUUCAAAAUUGAAACCAGCAAGUGAAUUAUUUACAACGGCCAUGGAACCAGCAAGUGAAUUAUUGACAUUUAUUUUGAUGUGACCAGUAUUCAUGUGGAUGGACAGUACUAGUGGACUAUAAACUGAUAAAUCUCACAGAAAGGCACAUCACAACUGAGUCUGAAGCUGUUACAUACAAAAGACAAGAUAUCCAGGAAAUAAGAAUUGUAUGUGAUCUAUUUAAAGAUCUUAGGACAGUAGGACCUGGAAGUACUGUAUUACCAACUUCAAGAUUAACUGAGCUUGAGAAAUUACAAAUCAACUGAUACAGAAGAAGAGACUUUGCCAUGUGGAUGAACUUGGAAACAAUUAUUGACAAACAAUAUAGUGUAUUAGUAUUCUUGUACAAUUCAAUAGAGAGAGAGAGAGAGAGAGAGAGAGAGAGAGGAAGGAUAGGAGAGAGUCAGUUGUAAAGAUUUAUGUCUUUUUAACCAGACAUGUCGAUUACAUUAGAAUUUCAGAGGCCUACAGUUCUCCCUUAAAUGGUCAUAGUUAAUACAUGAAGUAGUUAAAGUAGAGGACUUUAGUGUGACCAGUGAAAACAAUCAGGCAGCUGCCAUUGGUUUAAAUCUCUUUUUUCGAAGAUGUUUUGGUUACAUUAGAAUAAAUCUGUGAGGAAUGACAAAAAAAAUGCUAAAUAAAUAAUUUGUGGUAUUUUGUACAGUUUCAUUAUGCAAUCUUGAAUACAUUUAUGAUUACUAUUUAUAAAGAAGUAUUAUCAUUAGAAUGAGGAUGGAAAAUGUUUAAACAUUUAUUUGAGACAGAGUUUUGCAUUAUUUCAUUAAAAUUAUUAAAUUCUUUUUGUGUGAAUGAAGGACAAACAGGGAAAACAGAAGCUAUUCUAUGAAUUUCAAAUUGUAUUUAUUUACAUUUGAUUGAUUAGUUGAAGAUUAACUACACGUAUUCAGCAUAGUACAAAAUUAAGGAUGCACUGCAAGUGUAUAUUAUCUUUAUAGUUAUCAUCACACUAUGUCCAAUCUAGAUGUACAACACUCUUUUUUAUAGUGUUCUGUAAAUUAUCAGGAACACCAGUUGUGAUGAAUGGGAAGACUGGCAGGCUGAGAAAUGGGUAUAAGGGGAGGGAAUACCCCUGCUUAUCUUUUCAUACUGGUUAGUUCCUUUGGUAAAGGUUUUGUACAAAUGUUGUUCAUAUCAGAUGUAUACUAUUUGAAGAGAGUUGUUAUUUGGAGCUCAAAAAAAAAAAAAAAAAAAAAAAAAAAAAAAAAGAAGAGAAAAAAAAGAA